rnacentral:rRNA from 1 species
GACGAACGCUGGCGGCGUGCUUAACACAUGCAAGUCGAACGGAAAGGCCCUGCUUUUGUGGGGUGCUCGAGUGGCGAACGGGUGAGUAACACGUGAGUAACCUGCCCUUGACUUUGGGAUAACUUCAGGAAACUGGGGCUAAUACCGGAUAGGAGCUCCUGCUGCAUGGUGGGGGUUGGAAAGUUUCGGCGGUUGGGGAUGGACUCGCGGCUUAUCAGCUUGUUGGUGGGGUAGUGGCUUACCAAGGCUUUGACGGGUAGCCGGCCUGAGAGGGUGACCGGCCACAUUGGGACUGAGAUACGGCCCAGACGCCUACGGGAGGCAGCAGUGGGGAAUAUUGCACAAUGGGCGGAAGCCUGAUGCAGCAACGCCGCGUGCGGGAUGACGGCCUUCGGGUUGUAAACCGCUUUCGCCUGUGACGAAGCGUGAGUGACGGUAAUGGGUAAAGGAGCACCGGCUAACUACGUG